rnacentral:rRNA from 1 species
UAACACGUAGGUAACCUGCCCAUGUGCCCGGGAUAACUUCUGGAAACGGAUGCUAAAACCGGAUAGGUAGCAGACAAGCAUUUGACUGCUAUUAAAGUGGCCUUGGCCAUGAACAUGGAUGGACCUGCGGUGCAUUAGCUAGUUGGUGAGGUAACGGCCCACCAAGGCGACGAUGCAUAGCCGGCCUGAGAGGGCGGACGGCCACAUUGGGACUGAGACACGGCCCAAACUCCUACGGGAGGCAGCAGUAGGGAAUUUUCGUCAAUGGGGGGAACCCUGAACGAGCAAUGCCGCGUGAGUGAGGAAGGUCUUCGGAUCGUAAAGCUCUGUUGUAAGAGAAAAACGGCACUCAUAGGGAAUGAUGAGUGAGUGAUGGUAUCUUACCAGAAAGUCACGGCUAACUACGUGCCAGCAGCCGCGGUAAUACGUAGGUGGCGAGCGUUAUCCGGAAUGAUUGGGCGUAAAGGGUGCGUAGGUGGCAGAUCAAGUCUGGAGUAAAAGGUAUGGGCUCAACCCGUACUGGCUCUGGAAACUGAUCAGCUAGAGAACAGAAGAGGACGGCGGAACUCCAUGUGUAGCGGUAAAAUGCGUAGAUAUAUGGAAGAACACCGGUGGCGAAGGCGGCCGUCUGGUCUGGAUUCUGACACUGAAGCACGAAAGCGUGGGGGAGCAAAUAGGAUUAGAUACCCUAGUAGU